GAAGGAGCUCUUCUGGAGAUCCCUCCUCUGGAGUUCUGCAGUGAGCACAGGACACAGUUCUCAGUGUUAUAGUUAAGAAAAGAAGACUGUGAUCCUGAAGUAAGACUGUGCCCGGGGAGUUUUACUGACUCAGUGACAGCGGGUUAACAGAUACAAUCACAAAAUUAUAGAAUACCCUGAGUUGGAGGGGACCCACAAGCAUCACAGAAUCACAGAAUCACAGAACCACAGAACGGAGGGCUGUCUGCCUCUGUGUGAAUUCUCUGGGAAUGAUGGGGCUGUGGGAAGGCUGUACUGAGCCCAGCUGCCUGCAGCAGAGCAGAGGGCAGGCUGCCUGCUUCGGAAGUGCCAGCUCCACUAUCUCCACAGUGAAAUUGUGCUUCUAUUCUUCAAAGCUGCUUAUUUUUCAGAGAACUGACCUUGUCGGGGACAUCCACUGAGGAUGAUAACAUUGCCAGGUGCUGAAGUUAACAGCCAUUUCCUAAGGGUGUCCUCCUCCACGUAUGUCUUCCAGCAGAAGAAAAACAGAAAAAAUGCAAAGAAAUCUUUUAGAAACCAGAAUAUUUUCUCCAGUCCCAGAAGUCUCCUAAUUCAGAAUACACCAUCUUGUUUAUGCUACAGAGCUUGUAAUUUUCUUUACGAUGCCAAAAGUUGUGAAUAUCUGAUGACAUGAAAUUUGGCUUGAUGAUGUGCUGCUAGCUGAAGCCGUACAUGAAAUGGCUCUCUCAGCUUCUCAUGUCAUGUAUUAAAACAGGACAAAAACCCUGGGGGAAAAUGUAUGUUUCCUUUUCUCAGAAUUUAGUUAGGAUAUGAAGGUGCUAAAACAAUACCUUUUUAGCUCACAUUUGUCUAUAAAUUUAGGGUGAUUUUCCUUUUUAAUGGCAAAGCAGAUCUGUGUCACCACGGUGACAGGUAGCUAAGGCUCAUGGCUGAUGUGAUAAUGUUUGUCAGAGAAACGGCAGCAGAAAGCAGCAGUCCCUCUGCCAACAAAAAUCUUCUAUCAGCCCUGUAGGUGUCUGAUGCCCAGGCACAAAAUGGGGACAGUUACACAAGAACAACUCGACUUCAUCACGGGUGAUGCUUGUGUAUGCAAAUACUGGUGUUGUGAAUCCAAUUAGGUUUCUCUGUGUGCAGGAAUAUGCCAAACUAGCUGCAUCUGAUCAGGCUGAUUGAGGGCUGGGUACACAUAAGGUCACCCACCAGCAGAGCCCAGCAUGGAUACCUGGAGCCAGGAGCAGGCAAGGAAAAUGAUAAUAAAAUGAAGAAUAACUUUUCUAUUUGAUUUGCAAGAGAUCCACUCAGCACCAUUAGCUAAGUCUUCUGACAAACUAACAAAGAGCAAACCAACCCUUUCUGCCCUGCUGGGCCAGGAGGUGAAGCUUCCAGGAGAGCCUUGAGAGAUGCUGCUAAUGAAGACAAAUGAAGGAAAAGGAACUUGACCCCAGAGUAUGAAAUUUUGCUCAUUAAGAAGCGCUUCCAAUUGGCUGAUUGAUAUUAUUUUGAUGUAGAUGGGGUAAUUAAUGACAAAAAGUAAUGCAGCAGGAUAUGAGUUGUGCAGAAUGCACUUCAGUCAAUCUACCUUUUAUUAUGUCUUGGUUUAUUUAUGCACGCUACAUUUGUUAUGCUACUGCCUGAUGCGGUUCCCACCUUCAUUUGGAAUUUCCUUCACUUGUUUUCUUCAUUCUUUAUGCUAUUCUGGGAUUUCUUUCUUUUAUUUUUUUUUUACGUUUCUGCAUGUAAUUUCCUAAUCUGUUUUUAGUAAUACAAGGACGCACUUUCAUGGCCACAAGGAACAUUUCUGCAUGUGAAACAUUUCUUACAAUAGAAAUAGCCAUUGAAACAAACUACAUUUCCUUCCUACUUCAUUGCACAGGCUAUGGGUAUUGCCAGUAAAUUAACUGCUAGGAAUCUCCCCUGUACACUCACAUGAUUACUCUGUCCCAGAAGGAAAUGAGAAAAAUCUGAAAUUCUUUACAUUUUUUUUGGCUGGGUGGGUGGAGGAAAGGAAUGCCAGAACUUUGUAAUGACACAUCCUCCUGGAAGGAAGCGGUCCUGUGGUUUUAAGCCAAAGGAUUUAAAACCAGUAAAAUAUCACUGUACUUUUGAUUUAGCUUCUUGAUGUGUGAAUAAUGCAUGCCACCAAAGAAAAAGACAGGCUAAAAAUACUGAGUGAUGUGAAAUGACCCUUGGACUGAUCCUAUAAAUGUUUAUGCAUGUGAAUAAUUUUACACAAGCUUACUAAGGUGAUAAGAGAAUAUGUUCAUGAAAAGUUACUGACCUGAAUGUUUGUCUGGAGGAUCAGGCUGUUGCUAUGGAUAUUUUUAUCCAGAUCUCCCAAAGAAAACUUGGGUAAUCAUGUUUGGUGUGAUUCUCUAUCCACUUCCCUUUUGUCUUUCCCAAAACCUUUGAAUCUUUUGACAUAAACCUGGUACUUACUCCUGAGGUCGUACAAAGGAGCUUCUUAAUAUAGUAUGUGACUCAAAAAAUAAUUGCCAUUUAAGAAAAAGACACGUUCUUUUGUGCAAGAUGCAAAGAAGAAUAUGGAAGAAAGUGCCAAAAAUGGGGGCUUCCAGCUUUCUGCUACAUGAUAGUUUUCCAUGUGUACAUCUCCAGAUCAAGGGAACUGCGACUGGGCGAA